AUUGAACGCUGGCGGCAGGCUUAACACAUGCAAGUCGAGCGGGGAAAGGUAGCUUCUUGCUACUGGACCUAGCGGCGGACGGGUGAGUAAUGCUUAGGAAUCUGCCUAUUAGUGGGGGACAACAUCUCGAAAGGGAUGCUAAUACCGCAUACGUCCUACGGGAGAAAGCAGGGGACCUUCGGGCCUUGCGCUAAUAGAUGAGCCUAAGUCGGAUUAGCUAGUUGGUGGGGUAAAGGCCUACCAAGGCGUCGAUCUGUAGCGGGUCUGAGAGGAUGAUCAGCCACACUGGGACUGAAACACGGCCCAGACUCCUACGGGAGGCAGCAGUGGGGAAUAUUGGACAAUGGGGGGAACCCUGAUCCAGCCAUGCCGCGUGUGUGAAGAAGGCCUUUUGGUUGUAAAGCACUUUAAGCGAGGAGGAGGCUACCGAGAUUAAUACUCUUGGAUAGUGGACGUUACUCGCAGAAUAAGCACCGGCUAACUCUGUGCCAGCCGCCGCCGUAA
rnacentral:rRNA from 1 species